rnacentral:rRNA from 1 species
GUAAGUUCACGCCACGCAUUAGAACGGGCGAAACCGCGAAUGGCUCAGGAACCGGACCUAAUCCUCGGGACCGUAAUCCUCCUCGGAGGCGAUGGAUAACUGUGGCAAUUCUAGAGCUAAUACAUGUGACACAGGCCGCGAUCGGUCGACGCGCCGUGGUCGCCUCGCCUUCUUGCGCGCUGGCACCCGCGUCGGCCGUCUUGGGUCGCGGCGCUACAUAUUAGACUGAGACCGAUGCGCGAUUUCCGUCCUCUCGUUGCGGGUUCGCGCUCGCUUCGGGGCUAAAGGUCGGCGCGCUCCGCUUUGGUGACUCUGGAUAACUCACUGGUCGAUCGCACGGGCUUCCACGCCCGGCGACGGGUCCCCCGAGGGUCCGCCCUAUCAACUGUCGACGGUCGGUUAAGUGCCUACCGUGGUUACUACGGGUAACGGGGAAUCGGGGUUCGAUUCCGGAGAGGGAGCAUGCGAAACGGCUACCACAUCCAAGGAAGGCAGCAGGCGCGCAAAUUACCCACUCCCGGCACGGGGAGGUAGUGACGAAAAAUAACGACGCGGGACUCUGUCGAGGCCCCGCGAUCGGAAUGAGUACACUUCAAAUCCGUUAACGAGGACCAACCGGAAGGGCAAGUCUGGUGCCAGCAGGCCGGCGGUAAUUNCAGCUUCGGUAGCGUAUAUUAAAAGUUGGUGCGGUUAAAAAAGCUGGUGAUCGGCGUGUCGUGCCGGUGUAAUUUUAACUUCUCGUUUCGUUGGGGGCCGGUGCUGUUGGUUGGAAUUCGGGUACGUCCUGAGCCGGCCUCUCGCCGUUUCUUUUGCGGCGGCGGUUGUUCGCCGUGCGCGUCCGGGUCCUCACGGGCUCCCUUUUGCUACGCCCCCGUGUUUGCCGUCGGUGAUUUCUCCUCCAAGGGUGCUCUUAACCGAGUGUCCGCGGCGGCCGGUACGUUCACUUUGAAAAAAUUAGAGUGCUCAGAGCGGGCUGUUCAAGCUUGCAUACGAUAAGCAUGGAAUGAUGGAAGAGGGCCUCGUCUACGUCUGUCGGUCUCCGUCUACGGCGAGGCAAUGAUCGAAGGGAGCGGUCGGGGCCACUCGUAUUGCGACGUUAGAGGUGAAAUUCUUGGAUCGUCGCAAGACGAACUGCAGCGAUGGCGUGUGGCAAGCACGUUUUCCUCGAUCAAGAGCGAAAGUCGGAGGUUCGAAGACGAUCAGAUACCGUCGUAGUUCCGACCGUAAACGAUGCCGACCGGCGAUCCGCCGGCGUUCGCUUCCAUGACCCGGCGGGUAGCCUGCGGGAAACCAGAGUUCGGUUCCGGGGGGAGUAUGGUUGCAAAGCUGAAACUUAAAGGAAUUGACGGAAGGGCACCACCAGGAGUGGAGCCUGCGGCUUAAUUUGACUCAACACGGGAAAACUCACCCGGUCCGGACACCGGUAGGAUUGACAGAUCGAUAGCUCUUUCUCGAUUCGGUGGGUGGUGGUGCAUGGCCGUUCUUAGUUGGUGGAGCGAUCCGUCUGGUUGAUUCCGAUAACGAACGAGACUCCGGCCUGCUAACUAGUGCGCCGAUGUGAGUGCGGCUCCUCGCGGGUCGUGUGCGGGCUCGGGGGCGAUUUUUGAUCGUCUCUCGUGUCCGGGUCGGUUUCUCACGCACUUCUUAGAGGGACGGGUGGCAGAAAGCCACACGAGGCGGAGCGAUAACAGGUCUGUGAUGCCCUUAGAUGUCCGGGGCCGCACGCGCGCUACACUGGAGGUAUCAGCGGGGACUUCGCCCCGGCCCGAGAGGGUCGGGAAACCUCUCAACCACCUCCCGUGAUAGGGAUCGGGGCCUGUAACCAACCCCGUGAACGAGGAAUUCCCGGUAGGCGCGGGUCAACAGCCCGCGUCGAUCACGUCCCUGCCCUUUGUACACACCGCCCGUCGCUACUACCGAUCGAACGGUCCGGUGAGGUCCUCGGAUCUGGCCGACGACGCCGCCGGGUAAGGCCUUCGGGUCCCGCCUCGGCGUUCGAUGCCUGGAGAAGACGACCGAACCCGAUCGUUUAGAGGAAGUAAAAGUCGUAACAAGGAGAUC